rnacentral:rRNA from 1 species
UACAGAGGUGGCAAGCGUUGUUCGGAAUUACUGGGCGUAAAGGGCGCGUAGGCGGCCAUCUAAGUCAGACGUGAAAUCCCCCGGCUUAACCGGGGAACUGCGUCUGAUACUGGAUGGCUUGAGUUUGGGAGAGGGAUGCGGAAUUCCAGGUGUAGCGGUGAAAUGCGUAGAUAUCUGGAGGAACACCGGUGGCGAAGGCGGCAUCCUGGACCAACACUGACACUGAGGAGCGAAAGCCAGGGGAGCAAACGGG